CCUACGGGAGGCAGCAGUGAGGAAUAUUGGUCAAUGGGCGCGAGCCUGAACCAGCCAAGUCGCGUGAGGGAAGACGGUCCUAUGGAUUGUAAACCUCUUUUGUCGGGGAGCAAAAGACGCCACGCGUGGCGUUCCGAGAGUACCCGAAGAAAAAGCAUAGGCUAACGCCGUGCCAGCAGCCGCGGUACUACGGAGGAUGCGAGCGUUAUCCGGAUUUAUUGGGUUUAAAGGGUGGGCAGGCGGAAGAUCAAGUCAGCGGUAAAAUUGAGAGGCUCAACCUCUUCGAGCCGUUGAAACUGGUUUGCUUGAGUGAGCGAGAAGUAUGCGGAAUGCGUGGUGUAGCGGUGAAAUGCAUAGAUAUCACGCAGAACUCCGAUUGCGAAGGCAGCAUACCGGCGCUCAACUGACGCUCAUGCACGAAAGUGUGGGUAUCGAACAGGAUUAGAUACCCCAGUAGUC
rnacentral:rRNA from 1 species